AUAAAGAAUACCUGGUAACAUUGACAUUUUCAGAACAGUUUAACAACCCAGCGACAACACCACCAUUAAUGACCACAACACAAAUGUAUUAUGCAUUUUUUAUAAUAAUUUUAAAUGGAUUGCUUUAACCCCUUCAGGACGUAGGACGGUUCAGGACCAUCCUCGGCAUUUUUGCGUUGUUCAAUAAAGGUUACCACCUUUUAUGUGGACAAUUUUUAUAGCAUUGUCUGUUUGUUUCAAACUCUUUAGGGUUUCUAGAUACUGGCCUCUGGCAGUGUGAGAAGAUAUGCCAAGGAUUUCCCCAAACCUUUUAUAGAGGCCAAAUUAAAAAAAACUGAAUGUAAAGGUCUGCACAAAGCUAAAGUGCUUGCAAUAAAAUUUAAGGACAGGAAGUAUGUUAAUAUACUAACCACCAUCCAUGAUGAAAGCAUGUCAGACGUCACUGUCCGAGGCAGAGUACAGACCAAACCUGUUUGCAUAAGUAAGUAGCGACACAUAAUUCAUUUUUACUCUUUAAAAAA